rnacentral:snRNA from 1 species
GAUCCGUACCAUGGGCUG